rnacentral:lncRNA from 1 species
GAAAAAUCCUAUUUGUUGUGUGUCUCUGGAUUUUGUUGACCUCUUUUUCCUUGGGUAGUUUGUUUUUCCUGUCUAAAUUAACAAGCAGGGUUUGCCCAAGCAAACACCCUUAGCGGAAAGCUUUAUUGCCUCCACGGGGCGGUCACGAGUUCGGCCAACUCUCCCCGGGACCAGGAGCAGCGCCUGCACUGUGCGCUGGGAUUAAACUUGAGCGACACCCACUCACCCACCCUCCCCGCCUCCACAGGUGCGUCCCUGCGACAGCGCUGCUGCUGGAACGGCGGCACCUGUGUACUGGGCAGCUUCUGCGUGUGCCCAGCCCACUUCACCGGCCGCUACUGCGAGCACGACCAGAGACGCAGGUGGGCGCUGGGGACCGGGGGACGCGACCCAAGGAAGGGGCAGGAGGGGGCGCUGCGGGCAGGGUGCGUGGACCUAGGCAUUGAUGCCUGGUGUCCGCCUCCUCAGCGAUUGCGGCGUCCUGGUGCAUGGAGCCUGGACCUUCAGUGGUUGCCGCCUGUGCAGGUGCGUCUUUGGGGCCCUACAUUGUCUUCCCCGCCAGACGUUCGGCCGCUGUGGUAAGAGGACCCGAGACUUCUGCUCUUGACACACUUGUGCGUUUGCGCCUUUUUUGUGGUUCAUCCUGAGUACGGACUCAAACAACAGCUUCCUGUGCCAAGCGACCCAGAAAUAAGAAACUAAAUUCAUUCCUGAAGAAAACCACACUCAAUAGUUCACACCCAGUGAACUAUUAUUAUUUACUAUUUUGUUUAAGGUUUCUCAUGUCCGGAUUGCUGGGUUUAACAUGUGCGUUCUUUACUGUGCGCGCAGCUUCCAGCGAUGACAAGCUGGUAAGCAGUGUUGAACCUGGGAGUCAGGGUAGCUGAAUAAAUCUCUGAAAAUGUCCCUACACUGGCCAAUACCAUCUCUUCCCGCCAGAGGGCACUGGAACCAGAAGGGAUCAGGCCUGGGUUCUGGAGGCUUGGGCAGUCGCACCCUUUCUCUUGUCAGGCUGCAAAAGCUAAUUGAGGUGGCACCACGUUUCAAUCCAAUAGCCCGGGCCCUGUCUCUUUUCAAUACUGCUUUUCAACAGGUGCUAACUGGGAUGAGCAGUGGUAAGCACAGUCAGUGAAGACACCGCCCUUCAACCCAAGUCAUGGGCCUCUGUUUGUGUCAUCCUGGGUAGUUUGUGCAGUGUGUCCAGAGGGGAGACUAAGGCCAAAGCCUCUUUCCUGCCCUUCCCUCCACCUCAGUCAACUACUGGGCUCUUCCAGCAGUGGAGCGACACAGUUAAUAUUUGCACUGCCCCUCAAUUCCACUUCUCUCCCCCUCAAACAAGACAGCCAGGACAACCAGGAGGGAAAGCCCUUCAUCCCUAUUUACUGUCUUCUCCUCAUUCUGACCUUGGUGGGUCCUUAAUGGAGAAGCACACUCAGUGAAUGCUCAAUUUCUGACCCACCUUCUCACGCCUCUCUUUUCUUCUGAGUGGGACCAGGAGUCAAGGGAGUCUAGGCACAGCUCUCAUUCCCUCCUGGCCCAUCACUCACUCCCUUCUCCUCAGCUAGUUUUGCACCUGCAAGUGGAGAGGAAAUUCUAGCACCUUAUUCAUCUCUCCCUCCCUUUCAUGCAAGCUACAUUUCCCCAAAGUCCUCUCUCUCCUAUGGUCUGUCCCAUUUGCUGGGGCCAUGCCUCUGAUUCACCAACUGCUCCUACUAUCAGAGAGUGAAGGACAUAGAUUUUAGGGACAGGCAUCAGAAUUACACAGGGUCCCUCACAGAUGAAGUCAGAUUCCACCUGCAAGAGCUUCCUCAGCAGGAAUUUGAGGAAGGUCAUAGCUGGAGUCAGGCUUCUAUGCAAGGCCAUCAGGGCAGGAACUGGGUUCCAGUAUUAUCUUAAUCACUAUUUUAUAUCAUUCAAAGCAUCUAGGGCUGAGACUGCUGUCUUUCUGCUAAGAAUAGUCACAACAGUUUCUGAAAAUGUGACUUCUGUUCAUCAAAACUGGAUAAAAUAGUACGGUGCAGUCUCAUUUCAGAGCAGUUUGUCAGGUGCAGAAAAAAGGGUAACACCAUUAUGCUGGUUGACCUAUUCUGCUCUAGGCAAGUUAAAAUGGUGAUGAUGACGACUGCUAAUAGUGAUCAAAUGGCAGGAUGUGACUGAUAAUGAUGGUGAUAACUGCAUUUGUUAGCUCUUUAUGUUUCAGGCACUUUAUACCUAUUAUCUCAUCUGAUUCUCAUAACAGCCUAUGAAGUAUAUUUUAUACCUUUUUAUAUUUGAGGAGACUGAGGCUUAGAGAGAGGUUAACUCCCAUAGGUAGCAAAUAGGACCUGAUUCUUAACCACUGUGCCAUUCAUGUAAGACUAAUUCUCAAUAUGAAAAGAAUGAAGAUUUUUUUAAAUAUAUUUUUUAGUUGUUGAUGGACCUUUAUUUUAUUUAUUUAUAUGCAGUGCUGAGAAUUGAACCCAGUGCUUUACACGUGCUAGGCAAGUGCUCUACCACUGAGUUACAACCCCAGGCCAGAAUGGAGAUAUUUUUGAUAGUGUUGCUUAGCAUAUUGAAAAUGUGGCUAUGGUCUAAAUCCUUUAAUAGCUUUUUAUGAUGUUUUCAAGAGUAUAUGGGAGAUAGAUAGAAGAAAAACUGUAUUCACAAUAUCAUUUUAAUAGUAGGGAAAGACAUCUAUGCAUGGGAGGGAUUGAAAAUAGAUAAUAUGACGUAAAAUUAUGCUACUCCACCAACUCAGAAAUUUUCAGGCUGAGGGUCUCCAGGGGUCACUCUGACUGAUGUUCGAGAAUAAAAGGAGUCUUUGCUUAGACCUUAAACCAGCUCAAGCUCAUCUCAAUUAGACCAACAGGAUGGCUACCUAUGAAGCAGAGAACCAAGAAAUUGUCAUUAGCAUCAAGAACUAAUUGAAAGGCUGGUGGUGUAACUCAAUGGUAGAGCACUUGUCUGGCACGCAGGGGGGACAUGGUAUGAUCUCUAGCAGUGCAAAAACAAGGAAAAAAAAUCCAAAUACUCUAGGGAUGAUGGUGGAGCUCAAGACCCUAGGUUCAAUCCCCAAUGCUAAAAUAGAUUUUUUUAGUAUUAAUUUAAAAUUUGGUACCUAUGUAAUGGCCCAGUGAAGUAGCAAACUCAAGAGAUAGACAGGUAACACAAAUGUGAGGUGGGGCCAAGUCAAGCUACUCAAUUUUAUUUUAUAUUUACUUAUUGUAAACUCAAUUGUUUUUGAGAGAGAGAGAGAGAGAGAGAGAGAAUUUUUUAAUAUUUAUUUUUCAGUUUUCGGUGGACACAACAUCUUUAUUUUAUGUGGUGCUGAGGAUCGAACCCAGCGCCCCGCGCAUGCCAGGCGAGCGCGUUACCGCUUGAGCCACAUCCCCAACCCCUGUAAACUCAAUUUUUUUUUUAAAAAAAAUGCAUUUCUGGCAAAAAAAUUAAUAAUAAUAACCAACAAACAAAUUAACAAAAAUUAGCCAGACUCAGCCUUUCGGAUUCCGUAAGGAUGGCCUUAAAGGUCCUAGAACCCAGUCAACUCUGAGCCUUUGUCCUACCUUCCUAGGAUAUUAUCUGUGACUGGUGUCAUUUCUGUGGGCAAGCUUUCCUGGGUUUGAGGGCAGGUGAGGAAGCCUUCUGGCUCCCAGGGGAUUGUACCCUAGCUACAAAUUGAAGAAUUUAAAAAAUGCUGGGUUUGGCCCUCAUAUUGAGAGGUGAUAUUAUCCUCAUUCAUUGUGGUCUUCAAAAACUUCAUUAGUAAAAAAUAAUUUGAGUAUACUCCCCAUUCAGCAGUGAAGACACCGUUACCAUGCUGAGCCCACACAAACUUGAUUUCAUUUAUAUCUUCCUUUUCACAUAUGCACAAGACUCAUAAUGACAAAGAUCUCUGCUAUGUCUAAAGUCUAGGAAGUACCUUCUUUAUUUUUAUUUUCUUGUACUGGGGAUUAAACCCACUACCACUCUACCACUGAGCUACAUCCCCAGCCAUUUUUAUUUUUUUUAUUUUGAGACAGGGUCUCACUAAAUUGCUGAGACUGACCUUGAACUUGUGGUCCUCCUGCUUCAGCCUCCUGAGUUCCUGAGAUUACAGGUGUGCACCACCAUACCCAGCUGAGAAGGACCUUUCAAUAAGUAUAUAAUAAUACUCCCAGUUCACAGUAAUAAACCAUCCAUUGGUAGAAGAGUUUCCUUUUGGUGUGACAUAAAAUGAUGGAGAAUAGCAAAAUCAUUGAUUUUAUCAAUUUUAGUAAGCACCGUAAAUAUUAUUAAAUUAUAUUUUUAAUUUUUUCCAUAAAUCUAGAAUUGGAAAUUCUAAUAUUUUUCUUUAUAAACUCAUGAGUGACCUCAGGCCCUCUGGGGAGCACAUUCCAUGGUGUUCACAUCUCCAAUCUGGGGACCCCUAACUGAGCAGCUAUCUUAGUCUAACCCUCUUUACAGAUUCACAAAGCUGACUAAAGUCACAGCCAAGGGGGCCUGAAUUCUCCUGUUAGGGAAGCCUGCUCUCUUCUCCCAUGGACCUAAUACUGACUCCUUUCUCAUCAGAAGAGUUUCUGAUCAGGUGUAAGGACCUGUCAACAUCAGUCUCACCUGGACCCAGCUGGUAGGCUCCCUGUUUGGGGAAUCUGGCACUCUCAUCCACGGUGGAGUGAUACAGGGAGGUAGCACUCAGUCCUGGAGUGGGCCUGACCUUGGUCCCUGGAGCUAGAUCUGAGCAGAUCACACUGUGGCCCACUUUCGCACAGGUCUGGGGAGCCCCUGCUGCCACUGCUUGUCCAUAUCACUGGUUCACUAUUUGUGCCUGUCUGGGGCAAGCCACGCUGGCAUGUGCUAAGUAGCCCAGCCAGACACCCACCCCCAGUCUUGAUGUGAGAAUGAUGUGAUGGAAUUGGUAACUUGCCUGUGGGGUUGGCAGGUUCAUAUGGUCAUCACCACUGAGGAUUUUAACCAAGAUUCCUGCCCAGCCCCACCACCUCAGAAAUUCCCAUUCAGCUGCCCAGGGCUGGGGUCCCAGGCUCAGAGAACCAGAAAGGGGACUCCUAGGGUACAGAUGAGUGAGGACUGUUGUGGAGGGGGGCUGCAGAAGGAGGUGCUCAGGUAUGCUCCUGUGUCCUGGUGGUGAAGGGGGGUUGAUGAACAGGCAACAGGUGAACCUAAUGAUCAUGAUCAAUGAUUUUUCGACCCACUGUUAUUUUAUGUUUUACUCAAAAGGAAACUCUGAUACUGAUGGAUGAUUUACUAUGACCUUGUAUAUACAUUUAUCUGUGGGAAGCCACUCCUGAGCUAUUUAGGGUCUUCACUCAGCCUUGAGCCAAGGAGAUUUUGGUCUGGCAUUGUAUGCUAUUUUGUGGUCCCUCCCACUUAAGGGAUACACAAUACACGUGACUUCAGUCUUCAUUAGGCUAGGAAGACAGAUCUCCUAGCUCCAGAGUUGGGCGUGACCCACUGGGAACUGGACAGCCCACCUCCUACCUUAAUUGACUAAGAACAUCUGUGCAAAAGCUUUAAAGUUCCCCCAUAUAAAUAAAACAAAUUCAGGCUCUCACUUUCUCUUUCCAGCAUGGAAGCUCCACCCUUAAAGUCGAAGAGCUGUCCUGCCCCCACUCUUUAAAUCUAUUUUCUGUGGCCUGUGAUUUUUUUGCCAUAUUUCUCAGCCAGUCCACUCCACGAAGGGGAACCCACUUUCUGUCACCUGUGUGGGCCAUGGGCAAGAUUUAUUAAAAGGUCCAGAGAUUUUCAUCAUGUCUGUGAGUCUUGUUCAUGUCUGGAAGGGCAGAUGUAAAUAAAAUCAAAUUUGGGGCUGGGGAUGUGGCUCAAGGGGUAGCAUGCUCGCCUAGCAUGCAUGAGGCACUGGGUUCAAAUAUCAGCACCACAUAAAAAUAAAAUAAAGAUAUGUGUCCAUGGGCUAGGGAUGUGGCUCAAGCGGUAGCACGCUCGCCUGGCAUGCGUGCGGCCAGGGUUCGAUCCUCAGCACCCCAUACAAAGAUGUUGGGUCCACCGAAAACUAAUAAAUAAAUAUUUUAAAAAUUCGCUCUCUCUCUCUCUCUUAAAAAAAAAGAUAUGUGUCCACCUAAAACUAAAAAAAAUAAAUAUUAAAAUAAUAAUAAUAAUAAAAUAAAAUUUGUGCACACUCAACUGUGCUUCCACCACUAAAUGGGGAAUAUGCUCAAGUUGUUGUUGUUUAAUUUAUUUAUUCUAAUUUGUUAUAUAUGACAGCAGAAUGCAUUUCAAUUCAUAGUAUACAUAUAGAGCACAAUUUUUCAUGUCUCUGGUUGUAUGUUUGUUCUUUGACCAACAAAGUGAGAGAUUAAAAAAAGUUAAAAAAUUUUGUAGCCACCUUGGAUGUCUUAAUGUGAGGGAUAUACCCAGCAUUCCUGAAAUGUUCCAAUGAAUGAUUGUGACUUUAGGAAUUGCUGCAUCCUCCUAUUUAAUAAACUCUGUUCCUACUUACAAGCAAUAUUGUUAGAACUAAUCUGGGGAAAACUUGGACUAUCUUUGCAGCAGAUGGUUUGAAGGCUGUUUUAUUUUGUUGCAUUGUUUUAAGUCUGUUCUACUGGUCCCAAUUGUUAAAUGGCACACUUCCCCUAGCUGAGUUCUGGCAGGGCUGCCCCUGAACACUGUGCUCCAGUGAGAUCUCCUCUCAAGGAGGCAUUGAACACAGAUUCCUCACACACCCCCAUCCACCUCCCAAACUGCCAGCCCUGAAGCAGGGCCCAAGAGUCAGAUUCUGGUGAGGAGGGCAAGGCAGAAGAGUGCCUUUAGAAGAACAGGUACAAGCAUUUCUAUUUCAUUCCUUUAAACCAGGUGUAUAACAGUGUAUUCUCCCUGUUCUUUUUCAGAUUUGAAAGACUUUCUCCCCUCACAUGCCAAUGGGCCAAGCUCAUAUAGUUUACUGAGUUUUCUCCUCCUGCUGUCCUGUGCCGUCCUGCAGUGCCUUGUCUGUGAAGGAGACUCUAAGUGAACAGAAGCUCCCUCUUGGGACUUGGAAGACUAAACCUUGAUUAUGAUACAAGAGCCACUGUGUUCCCAGUAGGAAAGCCAGGACUUGGGCAUCCUCUUUAAUUUUCUCUUGUAAAUAAUAGAAUUGCUUACUCUUCUACAAAGUGAACCAUUAGGUGAAUAUUUGUACUAUGUAAUAAAUAUGAAAGAGCCU